rnacentral:pre_miRNA from 1 species
UCUUGUGGCUUCCAUGCAGAAGUUCACAGAAACAGCUAUUUGCUAUUGAAAAGUUGGCUGUUACUGUUCUUCUGAUGGGUGCUGCUGGA